rnacentral:rRNA from 1 species
UUUAAAGAGAGUUUGAUCCUGGCUCAGGACGAACGCUGGCGGCGUGCCUAAUACAUGCAAGUCGAACGAACGGAGGAAGAGCUUGCUCUUCCAAAGUUAGUGGCGGACGGGUGAGUAACACGUGGGCAACCUGCCUGUAAGUUGGGGAUAACUCCGGGAAACCGGGGCUAAUACCGAAUGAUAAAGUGUGGCGCAUGCCACGCUUUUGAAAGAUG